rnacentral:misc_RNA from 1 species
AAAGUCGUAACAAGGUUUCCGUAGGUGAACCUGCGGAAGGAUCAUUACACUCAGUAGAUUUCUACUGCUCGGGGGGAGUGGAAAGUUUCCAGCGGCUUCUGCAGUUGGUUUACGAGUACGCUCUCUUUCUGAACCCUUGUCUUUUUGCGUACUUAUGUUUCCUCGGCGGGCUUGCCCGCCGGCUGGACAACUCUAUAACCUUUUUAAUUUUUAAUCAGCGUCUGAAUAAUUAUAAUAAUUACAACUUUCAACAACGGAUCUCUUGGUUCUG